GCCAGCAUGGUAUAGUGGUUUGUGCACUGGACUACAACUGGAGACCAGGGUUUGAAUCCCUGCUCAGCCA